CUUGUAUACACACGGACAGCCUUCUACUCGCACCGUGAGUCGGCAAAUAGAAACUACUUGACCAAAAGCAAACGGCAGGGCCAUGGCGGGAAGAACCAUCAAGCCUCCCCUGGUGGGUACCUCAGGAACAGCAUUCAGAAGCUGCUGAGACCACUGGAGAGACUCGGAGCAGGAGUUGAGUUGGAGGAGAGGGGACGACCCGAGGACAACCGCAGCCGGCACCUGUGCGCGUGGAUCUCACCCACCGCUCACCUCCCUCCCUUCCUCCAGAUCUUCUCCAGGCACCUCUUCCCAACGCCCAAUCAGCAGUUUACACGCAAAGAGAACCAACGACGCGAUGCUCGGCGGACCAGCACAUCUCCAGGGGAGGAACGGAGGCUGGGACUGUCAUUCACGGCCGGCAGCGUGCCUUGGGGGCGGUGACAGCAAGAGCACGGCUCGGCCAGAACCCCGUGGGUGUUUGCAUCUCUGCGGGUGGCGUGUAAGUGUGGACACGCUGCCUGGUAGUGUGGAAUAGAGUGCGGAACGGAGAUAGCCGUGUGCCGCACGGAGAUAGGAGAGAAGAGGGGGACCCCAGGGGGAAGGAGCGCGCGCAGGCAGGAGGGCCUCCUUCGGCAAGUCUGAGGACCUGGGUGGUUGGCGAGGAGUUUGAGAAGCGACCCUGGGACCGACAUCACCACCAUCCGGCCUUCAUCACUGGAGCUUUGGGACUGGCCGCGGAGCCGCUUCUGCAUCUGCGUCUUGCAACACGCUGGCAACCCAGGGAUGAAGAGAAUUCCUCCUUGAAGGGAGACAUGGCCAAAACAUGACCUUACCGAGAAUCUAGCCCAGGCCAAGGUAGGGAAGAGCUCCAAGUCCCAGCCAGUGCAUCGCCAAGGCUAGUUUUCUCGCACCCGCCAAUUGCGCCUCCGUUAGAGUUGAGCUCACCCACCCUUGGGGGUGCUGUCCUUCUGAUGAGGGAUCAUGGGAUAGACUGAGGACAGAGUGCAAGCUACCCCACUUCAUUGGAUGUGUGUGACAUUUCUCAGGCACUCCUGGCUGCCCCAGGACAAAGGAAAGGAAAGAAAACAAAUGGCCAGCUGAUAGAGAUCACAGUCAUACAGGACUUGGGUCUCCAUCCAUUUGCAAAUAUCUCAGUAAAUUACAAGAAAAAGGCAAUCUUAUCAAUAGCCUAAUGUCUAGAAACCUAGAGACUCAGUUUCCUGGAGCCCCAACAUCGCCUCAUAUGGGGAACAAAGGCAGAAGGAAAUGGCAGGAAACUAAGUCUCCUUAUAACCUGCAGCCCAUUGACUGAUACGUUUCCCAGGAACU
rnacentral:lncRNA from 1 species